AACCUGCAAUAUCUGAGGAACGUGAGCGGAGAUGGAUCAAUAAAGGUUGUGAGAAGGGAAGGUUGUUUAUUAUGAGUCAGAAAUGUUUUGAUGUGUGAGGAUCUAGUUCUAAGACUUGGAAAUCUACAACCUUUGAUUGUGUAAAGCUGACCACUGUGUGCCACCAUGAAUUACGAUAACACAGACGCUGACAAGAGCUUUCAAGGUGAUGAUGAUCAUGAAAAGAAAA